GACGAACGCUGGCGGCGUGCUUAACACAUGCAAGUCGAGCGGAAAGGCCACUUCGGUGGUACUCGAGCGGCGAACGGGUGAGUAACACGUGAGUAAUCUGCCCUUGGCUUUGGGAUAGCCACCGGAAACGGUGAUUAAUACCGGAUAUGACCACUCUAGGCAUCUAGUGGUGGUGGAAAGUUUUUCGGCCAGGGAUGUGCUCGCGGCCUAUCAGCUUGAUGGUGAGGUAAUGGCUCACCAUGGCUUCGACGGGUAGCCGGCCUGAGAGGGUGACCGGUCACACUGGGACUGAGACACGGCCCAGACUCCUACGGGAGGCAGCAGUGGGGAAUAUUGGACAAUGGGCGGAAGCCUGAUCCAGCAACGCCGCGUGAGGGAUGACGGCCUUCGGGUUGUAAACCUCUUUCAGCAGGGACGAAGCGCAAGUGACGGUACCUGCAGAAGAAGCACCGGCCAACUACGUGCCAGCCGCCGCGGUAACAC
rnacentral:rRNA from 1 species